AAGAGGAGAAGGAGCUGGAUUGAACAGGAGCUGGGAGAACAUGGCGGCAGAUGUUAAGAUUCUCCUCUGCUCAUAGAUACGGGUUGUUAUGAAUAUUUUUAAGGGGUGGGUGUGUACAGGAUUUUGUGCUGUCUAGUUGGGCAAAUUAUGUCUUAUCAAUUGGAUCAGAGGUUAUUGUGUGGUGUGUUCUUUCGUGUGGUGACUUAAUUGAGUUCAAGAGAAGGUUCGGUGGCCAGACGCACCAAGCCCACCACGGAGUUGGGAUGCGCAUGCCUGGCAUGGUAACAACCCCCACAAGGGAACUGUGGUGAAAGCGGUGUGGCAAGGUGCCACGCUAGAAUGGCUCAUGGACCACCCGGGUCAGAGAGUACUUAGGGAUAUUAUGGAGCGGCUGAGAUAAAGAUACCCCACAAUGCCAUGUGUCCCCAUGGGUGCCAGCGCUAGUGUAGGAUAAAGGUUCAGGUAUCAUACCCCACAGUGCCAUAUGGCCCCACAGGUGCUGGCAGUAGCCUGGGGAUAAAAGGUUUAGCAGGUUUUUUAAACAUUUACUACAACAGUUCCCAGUGUCUGUCCUGUAUGAAAAUAGAAGGGAACUUAGAAUAAAUCAGAUAUCGCGCACGCCUCUCCAGCAGACUUUGAAGACUUUGAAGUUGAGUAGCUGGAGAACCACAGACACUGGUGAGAGGAGAGUGUGAAUACACAUUUACUUCACUGUUCCUCUCUCCCAAGUAGCUCAAGGUACCUCCGAGGAGGACAAUGAACUCUGUACUCCUGAGGAUGUGAGAGACACCUCAUCCAAGACCUCUCUCUCGAUGGUCAUGGUCACAUAGAAAGGAGAACAAACUCAGGUGAAGCUGACGCCUACCAUUUAGUUCUUUCAUCUGUUAAGUGAAAAAUAAUAGGAUUUCCACAGGGACCAAUCACAAGCUAACAUAAUCACAAGCUAAGAGCCUCCGAGGAAAGAUUUUCUCUAUUAAGAUUUGCAGUCAGAGCUAGCAGGGUGGCUCGGCAGGUAAGGAUGUUUGCUGCCAAGCCUGACAAUUCAAAUUCGAUUCCCAGAUGGUAGAAAGACAGAGCUGACUCCACAAGUUGUCCUCUGACCUUUCCGUGUACGCUACGGCAUGUGCAUGUGUGAAUAAAUAAACUUUAAAAGUUUGAAGUGAAAAAGAAAGAUUGAGCUUCAUUGAUUUUUUUUGUGAUCCAGAUGUAAUUCGUGUCCAAACUUCAGAAGAGGAUAAACAAGAAAAUGUAAAAGCCAGCCAUAAUCGUGCCAUGUGGAGAAAACCACCUCAGUCAAGGUGUGGGUGAUCUGAAACCAGAAUGAAAAGAGGUAGGACUCAAAGCUGCCGUCGGUUGGAGGAGGCACACAUGCACUCCUGUCUUCUGUGUGCCGUGCCUAUCUCGCGCCUGUGCUAAUCCUGAAGACACGUCAGCCGAUCCUGAACAGCACUCCGACACACGGGCUUCAAGCUUGACUACAUCCUGGAGGCACCAAGAGCAUCAUUUUUGUUUGGUACGGUGUCUCGUUAGGUAGGCCUGGCUAACCUAGAACUCACUAUGUAGACCUGACUGGCCUUGAACUCAGAGACUCACUUGCCUCUGCCUUCCGAGUACUGCGAUUGAAGAUGUGCAUCUUCGGAGUACAUAUUUGAAGUUAACUUUUUCACCUGCUUUUCCUGCCUUGGACUCUUAAAAAAAGGAACUCAAUUCUUCUUCCCUUGGGAAAAAAAAAAAGGAAAAUUGCCAAAAUAUCUGAGAGGCUGAACAAAGUUACAGCUACAUCACUGCUCUGGAGUUGCCUGUGACUGAAGCCUCAUUCAGAUGAUCAAAUUGUCGAUGCUCGCUUGGGAGAGGACUGAGACCCAGUGUUACAUAAGCCGCCUUCUCGGAACAGCCCAGAAUACAAAGGCGUGCGUAUGCCUGUGUGAACAUGUGUCCACACAUGUGUGGAGGUGUCUGGGAAGCCAGAAGAGAGCACCUGAUGACUUGGAACUGGAUUCUCAAGCAGAUAAUUCAAACCAAAGGAAAACCAGGAAACUUUGCCGAUCUUCUUCGGGGGAAACUUCUGAAAUGUUUGCCAUCAUCGGGACAAUUGUUCGGGAUGUCAAUAGAGUUUCUUAAUUAGGUGACAGACCUGAGUGUUCUAAAGAGACACGUGUCAAGAGAUUCGGUUUUCCCAGGUUACCCCUGAGAAACACCAAACCUGGUUAAAAAUAAAACGCUUUCCCCUACUCUGGGGAACACUGGAAAAAUUAA